UCCACCAUAGCUCUGUACCACUGCACACAUGGACCACAUGCUGUUCACACUGAAUUGUGCGUAUUAUAGGCAUUAUAAUGAAAUGCUGCUUAAAAGGACCCCAUGUUGACUCACAGCAGCACUACUGAACUGUAUCAAAGCCAAAACCUAAAGCUAACCUGCCAAAGAUGGCUAUUAUUGUCAGCCGUAAACAACAGUUCCAAGAUUUUGGAAACACGUUGUUGUUUUGUAAGCUUGCUUACUCAGUCACAUUAGAUGGAAGAUUUGCCAGAAAGUUCCACAGUCCGUCUUGAUCAGGAGGUGAAUAAAGCGGUCUUUUGCAAAUCGCUAUUUGUUGUUAGAAUUUACGAAAGAAAAUUACUCUCUUUUUUUUUCCAGGUGUCAUGUUGUUUAUUUUCUUUUCUUUUUGUGUUUCUAGGACAAGGUCCGGUCUAGCCCAUGCCCAUGACUAGUUUAAAUCCAAAUAUGAAUACAGAUACAAAUAUUUGGAUUACUAAACAAACACAGCCACGAAUACAGACUGUGGCACUGUUACUCCCUGAAUGUAAAUAUAUUCAUCAAGCCUAUUAUUUAGUAACUAUAAAUUAUAAAAGUGAGGAAUAUAAAUCUGGACCCGCUGACAGGGACUGGGAGUUUAUAAGGGUACUAUCAAAGUCUGAAAUUUCUCUGAUUUACUGUAUGCAUUGAUGACUACUUAAAUACGUAUGCUAUACAAGACAGACCAAGUCAUAUCAAUUAACAGUGAAUAUCAUUUGACAAGGUGCAUUCGACCACAAAUUCCUACUGUUUAUUAAGGGUAUAAUUGUAUUUCCAGAUGAUAUGGUCUAUGUUAUAUUGGUUCUUUUACACUGAGAGUGAUUUUGUUAUUGAUUCGGAUAUGCACGCAACAGAAUAUAAGAUUUUAACUUAAAAGUUUUCUAAAUUAGCUGAAUUAUCCUGACGUUUAACAGCUAUUUAUAUCUCUUUCUCCCUCAGUUCAUCCUAAUAGGUCUCUUUAUUUGCUUCAUAUUUCAUCUAACAGAUGGCCCCCAGGAAGAGCACUUGUUCAGUGGGACCCGGAAGACUGACAUACACACACACACACCCACACACACACACUGUCAUAUCCUAUUAAAGCAUG
ensembl:lncRNA